rnacentral:rRNA from 1 species
CUGGAAACGGCCGCUAAUACCGCAUGAGCUUCAUAUUUUAGGCUUUUAUCGAAGGAAAGAGGGACCUCUGCAUAUGCUCUUGCUACCGGAUGAGUCCGCGUCCCAUUAGCGUAGUUGGCGGGGUAAUGGCCCACCAAGGCGACGAUGGGUAGCUGUUCUGAGAGGAUGAUCAGCCACAUUGGAACUGGAACACGGUCCAAACUCCUACGGGAGGCAGCAGUGGGGAAUAUUGCGCAAUGGGCGAAAGCCUGACGCAGCGACGCCGCGUGAAGGGAUGAAGGUCUUCGGAUCGUAAACCUCUGUCAGAAGGGAAGAAGUUAUGACGUGCUAAUCAACGUCAUAUUGACGGUACCUUCAAAGGAAGCACCGGCUAACUCCGUGCCAGCCGCCGC